rnacentral:rRNA from 1 species
GACAGAGGGUGCAAACGUUGCUCGGAAUUACUGGGCGUAAAGGGCGCGUAGGCGGCCUUCUAAGUCGAACGUGAAAUCCCUGGGCUCAACCCAGGAACUGCGUCCGAUACUGAAAGGCUUGAAUCCGGGAGAGGGAUGCGGAAUUCCAGGUGUAGCGGUGAAAUGCGUAGAUAUCUGGAGGAACACCGGUGGCGAAGGCGGCGUUCUGGACUGCAACCGACACUGAUGAACGAAAGCCAGGGGAGCAAACGGG